GACGAACGCUGGCGGCGUGCCUAAUACAUGCAAGUAGAACGCUGAAGAGAGGAGCUUGCUCUUCUUGGAUGAGUUGCGAACGGGUGAGUAACGCGUAGGUAACCUGCCUUGUAGCGGGGGAUAACUAUUGGAAACGAUAGCUAAUACCGCAUAACAAUGGAUGACACAUGUCAUUUAUUUGAAAGGGGCAAUUGCUCCACUACAAGAUGGACCUGCGUUGUAUUAGCUAGUAGGUGAGGUAAUGGCUCACCUAGGCGACGAUACAUAGCCGACCUGAGAGGGUGAUCGGCCACACUGGGACUGAGACACGGCCCAGACUCCUACGGGAGGCAGCAGUAGGGAAUCUUCGGCAAUGGGGGCAACCCUGACCGAGCAACGCCGCGUGAGUGAAGAAGGUUUCCGGAUCGUAAAGCUCUGUUGUAAGUCAAGAACGGGUGUGAGAGUGGAAAGUUCACACUGUGACGGUAGCUUACCAGAAAGGGACGGCUAACUACGUG
rnacentral:rRNA from 1 species